GCCGGGAUGGCGGAAUGGCAGACGCAACGGACUUAAAAUCCGUUGGGAAGUAAUUCCCGUGAGGGUUCGAAUCCCUCUCCCGGCA
rnacentral:tRNA from 1 species